AUGCAUUCCCUCAAAAAAAACCCCAAAAAACCCCAAAAAACAGUCCAUCAAAAUCUCAUUCCCUCCAAAAACCCCAAUCUCUCAAAACUCCAAUCCCUCCAAAAGAACCCAAAUCCCUCCAAAAAAUGCAUUUCCUCAAAAAAAACAAACAAACAAACAAACAAAAAAACCCCAAAAAAACGGUCCAUCAAAAUCUUAUUCCCUCCUAAAAACCCCCCAAUCCCUCAAAACUCCAAACCCUCCAAAAAACCCAAUCCCUCAAAAAAAAAAAAAAGCAUUUCCUCAAAAAAACACAAGUCCAUCAAAAUCUUAUUCCCUCUAAAAAAACCCCAGUCCCUCCCAAAAACCCCAGUCCAUCAAAAUGUCCAAUCCCUCCAAAAAAACCCCAAAUCCUUCAAAACUCCAAUCCCUCCAAAAAAAAACCAAAACCCCAAUCCCUCCCAAAAACUCCAGUCCAUCCAAAUCUCAUUCCCUCCAAAAAAAAACCACCCAAUCCCUCGAAAAAAAUGCAUUCCCUCAAAAAAAAACCCAAAAAAACCCCCAGUCCAUCAAAAUCUCAUUCCCUCCAGAAAAACCCCAAUCAGGUUCGGGUUGGAUGUUGGGAAAAUUCCUUUGGUGGAAUUCCAGCCCUCCUCCAGCCCUGUGGAUGUGGCACUUGGGGACAUCCUUGGCACUGCAGGGGGAGUGGUUGGACUGGAUGGUCUGGGAGGGAUUUUCAGCCUGAAGCACUCUGAAAUUCCAUGGGAAUUGCUGGGAGAUCCCAUGGGUGACACCGUGUCCCCCCGGCUGGGUGACCUCGGUUUGGGUGGGGGGUGUCCCCAGUGUGGCACUGCAGAGGGACUGGGGACAAGGGACAGAGGGACAGGACACAGGGAAUGGCUCCCACUGGGAAAGGGGAGAUUGGGCUGGGAUCUUGGCAAGGAAUUCCUGGCUGGGCUGGAAUUCCCAGAGAAUCCCUGGAUCCCUGGGAAUGUCCAAGGCCAGGUUGGACUUUGGGGUUGGAUCCACCUGGGAUGGUGGAAGGUGUCCCUGAACUGGAAUGGGGUUGAUGAGAUGAGAUGGGAUUUAAGGUUCCUCCAACCCGAACCCAAAUGA
rnacentral:lncRNA from 1 species